CCUACGGGUGGCAGCAGUCGAGAAUCAUUCACAAUGGGGGAAACCCUGAUGGUGCGACGCCGCGUGGGGGAAUGAAGGUCUUCGGAUUGUAAACCCCUGUCAUGUGGGAGCAAAUUAAAAAGAUAGUACCACAAGAGGAAGAGACGGCUAACUCUGUGCCAGCAGCCGCGGUAAUACAGAGGGCUCAAGCGUUGUUCGGAAUCACUGGGCGUAAGGCGUGCGUAGGCUGUUUCGUAAGUCGUGUGUGAAAGGCGCGGGCUCAACCCGCGGACGGCACAUGAUACUGCGAGACUAGAGUAAUGGAGGGGGAACCGGAAUUCUCGGUGUAGCAGUGAAAUGCGUAGAUAUCGAGAGGAACACUCGUGGCGAAGGCGGGUUCCUGGACAUUAACUGACGCUGAGGCACGAAAGCCAGGGGAGCGAAAGGGAUUAGAUACCCGUGUAGUC
rnacentral:rRNA from 1 species